rnacentral:rRNA from 1 species
GACGAACGCUGGCGGCGUGCUUAACACAUGCAAGUCGAACGGAAAGGCCCUGCUUUUGUGGGGUGCUCGAGUGGCGAACGGGUGAGUAACACGUGAGUAACCUGCCCUUGACUUUGGGAUAACUUCAGGAAACUGGGGCUAAUACCGGAUAGGAGCUCCUGCUGCAUGGUGGGGGUUGGAAAGUUUCGGCGGUUGGGGAUGGACUCGCGGCUUAUCAGCUUGUUGGUGGGGUAGUGGCUUACCAAGGCUUUGACGGGUAGCCGGCCUGAGAGGGUGACCGGCCACAUUGGGACUGAGAUACGGCCCAGACUGCUACGGGAGGCAGCAGGGGGGAAUAUUGCACAAUGGGCGGAAGCCUGAUGCAGCAACGCCGCGUGCGGGAUGACGGCCUUCGGGGUGUAAACCGCUUUCGCCUGUGACGAAGCGUGAGUGACGGUAAUGGGUAAAGAAGCACCGGCUAACUACGUG